CUAUUCAUCAACUUGGUUGUGAAUUCUUUCGUUUGAAUAAGAUAUCACAGCCACUUUGAUGAGCUAGG
rnacentral:pre_miRNA from 14 species